UCCCCAGGUGGCUCGGAUGGUAAAGAAACUGCCUAUAAUGCAGGAGGCCACGGUUCGAUCCCUGGGUUGGGAA